rnacentral:lncRNA from 1 species
CUACUUUGCAUCUCUAGUUAUCCCUCUCAGGAGAAACAGUAGACAGAAGGUCCUCCAGCUUGCUGCACUGGGAGAAGGGACAAAAUUUGUGAUAAAAGAUGUAGAACUACAGCAGUCUUGAUUGGAUCUGAGAUGUAAAUAAGAAUACUUUUUAUUGGUGAUCAUAUAAACACUUCAACUACCUCUGGAAUCUCAUGAAAUAUUGGCAUUAAUUUUAGGUAGCUUUCCAGAAGAAUGCAUUAAUCGUGCGACAACAUAAAUACAGUGAACAGUUAGAAAAUAAGGCAGAAAAUAAAUAAAUAAAUAAAUAAAUAAAAGCUUCUGAU